rnacentral:rRNA from 1 species
AGCAGCCAUUGCGGUAAUUCCAGCUCCAAUAGCGUAUAUUAAAGUUGCUGCGGUUAAAAAGCUCGUAGUUGAAUUUCGGAAUUGAUGCAUCGGUCGUGCCUUAAGGGGCAUGAACUGGUGUAGCCAAUUUCUCACCUUCUGGUGAAUUGUGAUGUUCUUAAUGGGUGUCUCAAUGAACUAGAAUUUUUUACUUUGAAAAAAUUAGAGUGUUUAAAGCAGGCAUUAAUUUGCUUGAAUACAUUAGCAUGGAAUAAUGAAAUAGGACAGUGGUUCCGUUUUGUUGGUUUCUAGGAUCACGUAAUGAUUAAUAGGGACAGUUGGGGGCAUUAGUAUUCAAUUGUCAGAGGUGAAAUUCUUGGAUUUAUUGAAGACUAACUAUUGCGAAAGCAUUUGCCAAGGAUGUUUUCAUUAAUCAAGAACGAAAGUUAGGGGAUCAAAGACGAUUAAGUACGUCGUAGUCCUAACCAUAAACUAUACCGACUAGGAAUCAGACGAUGUUAAUUUUUUAAUGACUCGUUUGGUACCUUACG